CGAGACCCGCCCCUCAGGCCGCGGGCGCCACUCCGGGAAAGCGCUGCAGGCCCGUUACCUUACACCUCAGCCUACAGGGCCUUUCAGACGCGGUGUUACCUGCGGCGGUGCAGGAACGGCUGUUCUCUCAGGAAACGUCUCUUCCCGCGGCAAAUCGUUUUCCUGAUGAGAAUCUAGAAACUGAGGUGCGCACGCGGCCGAUGACAGCAGGAGUCAGCCACCCAACGGAGCUCCACAUGGGAGAUCUGCAUUUACAGGCAUCUGGCUGAGGCCUGAACCUGUGUCAACUGUGAGUCAUUGAGGAGGCCCUGCGUACAGAUUUCUUCUAGACACUUAAACUCCAGUGCUUGUACCUUGAAAGGUCCAAAGGAAUAACCCUGAAAAUGUGUCAAAUUACGAAUGAAAAGUAAAAUUAUUUCUCAGGCUUGACAGAAUAGCUUGAGAACUGAAAGCACAAAAGAACUGGAAGAAUAACUCAACUUCUUAAUCUACCCUCAAUA